CCCUCUCCCUAGAACCCUGCAUCUGAGGCCUUGGGAACGGGAACCUCAGCAGGCCUGGGGGCUCCCUGCUUCCAUGCGGCCUCUGGGCACCCUCAUAUCCCCUGCCAUGCCCUCUGGUCUUUGACAGGUGGACCUGGCAGUGGUGGAGGUGGGCAUUGGCGGGGCUUAUGACUGCACCAACAUCAUCAGGAAGCCUGUGGUGUGCGGAGUCUCCUCUCUUGGCAUCGACCACACCAGCCUCCUGGGGGAUACGGUGGAGAAGAUCGCAUGGCAGAAAGGGGGCAUCUUUAAGGUGACCAGGCAGACUGGGGGAAGGGAGAGACAUGGAAGGCCUGGGAGUCUACGUUUUCAUCCUGGCUUCACUGUGUGACUGGAACAAGUUGAGUCUCCUCUCCAGACUAUUUCCCCAUUGAAACGUGAGGGAUGGCUGGGCAUGGUGGCUUAUAUGCUUGCAAUCCCAGCAUUUCAGGAGGUCGAGGUGAGAGGAUCACCUGAGAUCCGGAGUUUGAGACCAGCCUGACCAAUAUGGGGAAACUCUGUCUCUACUAAAAAUACAAAAAUUAGCCAGGUGUGGUGGUGUACGCCUGUAGUUCCAGCUACUUGGGAGACUGAGGCAGGAGAAUCACUCGAACCCGGGAGGCAGACGUUGCAGUGAGCCGAGAUUGCGCCACAGCACUCCAGCCUGGGUGACAGAGUGAGACUUCAUCUCG
rnacentral:lncRNA from 1 species